GAUGAACGCUGGCGGCGUGCCUAAUACAUGCAAGUCGAGCGAACAGACGAGGAGCUUGCUCCUCUGACGUUAGCGGCGGACGGGUGAGUAACACGUGGAUACCCUACCUAUAAGACUGGGAUAACUUCGGGAAACCGGAGCUAAUACCGGAUAAUAUAUUGAACCGCAUGGUUCAAUAGUGAAAGACGGUUUUGCUGUCACUUAUAGAUGGAUCCGCGCCGCAUUAGCUAGUUGGUAAGGUAACGGCUUACCAAGGCAACGAUGCGUAGCCGACCUGAGAGGGUGAUCGGCCACACUGGAACUGAGACACGGUCCAGACUCCUACGGGAGGCAGCAGUAGGGAAUCUUCCGCAAUGGGCGAAAGCUUGACGGAGCAACGCCGCGUGAGUGAUGAAGGUCUUCGGAUCGUAAAACUCUGUUAUUAGGGAAGAACAAAUGUGUAAGUAACUAUGCACGUCUUGACGGUACCUAAUCAGAAAGCCACGGCUAACUACGUG
rnacentral:rRNA from 1 species